CCGGGAGCUCCGAGCACCGGGUGUCACUUCCGCUGAAGCGGAGGGCGGGGGGAAGAGGAGCCGCCAUGGCGCCGGCGGAGCGGAGGGACCCGCGCCCGCUCUGCCGCCUGGUGCUGGCUGCCGUGGUACUGCUUACCUGGGGCUUCGUCCUCUACGGGGAGCGGGUGGUCGCCCGGCGGCAACUGGAGAGCGGGCUGCUGGCCCACGGCCGGCCCUAGGCUAUGGUGGAGCCCCGGGGACACGAGCGGGAGCGUGGCGGUGCCUCCCAGGGCACGGAGGGACCCACUGGAAGGCUGAAGGAGCUCCGUGGUCAGCUGGGCAAAUGAAGCGCAAAUAGCGCUGAGGAAAGAGAAGGCAAAUAAAGCGCGAGCAGUUAGGAAAGAGAA